UACGUAGGGACCGAGCGUUGUCCGGAAUCAUUGGGCGUAAAGAGCGUGUAGGCGGCUAUUUAAGUCCUGCGUGAAAUCCUGCGGCUCAACCGCAGACGGUCGUGGGAAACUGGAUGGCUAGAGUGCAGGAGAGGAGAGUGGAAUUCCGGUGUAGCGGUGAAAUGCGCAGAUAUCGGGAAGAACACCCGUGGCGAAGGCGGCUCUCUGGAACGCAACUGACGCUGAGACGCGAAAGCGUGGGAGCAAACAGGG
rnacentral:rRNA from 1 species